rnacentral:rRNA from 1 species
GACGUAGGGGGCCAGCGUUGUUCGGAAUUACUGGGUGUAAAGGGUUCGUAGGCGGUGUGGCAAGUCGGGAGUGAAAUCUCUGGGCUCAACCCAGAGUCUGCUUCCGAAACUGCUGUGCUUGAGUGUGGGAGAGGCGCGUGGAAUUGCAGGUGUAGCGGUGAAAUGCGUAGAUAUUCGGAAGAACACCAGUGGCGAAGGCGACUAACUGGACAUGUAUUGACGCUGAGGUGCGAAAGCGUGGGGAGCAAACAGG